rnacentral:rRNA from 1 species
AUGAGCAUCUUGGACAAGACCACCGAUAACGCGGUGCUCCGCUCUCAAAGGACAAAGAAGCCCAACCUUGCCUUGAAGGCCAAGGUUAUUGUGGAAGAAGAGGAAGAAGAGGAAGAUGAGGAGAGCAACCCCGAAGAUACAAAAUAUGAUUAUCAUGAGCACAUGGCUCUUGCUUCAAGGCAAUUUUGGAGCAAGAAGAACUCAAGGCCCAAUUUCAACAAGAACAACUCAAGUGGCUUCAAGGGCAAGCAACGAGUAAGAACUUGUUACAACUGUGGCAAUGUGAGCCAUUUCAUUGCGGAUUGUCCUUACGAGAAGCGGGAAGACAAUGGUGGCAAGCUCAUCCGAAAAGACAAAGCCAAGUCCUUCCCCAACAAGAACAACUUCAGCAAGAAGACUCCUACUCGAGGUUUGGUGGUUCAAGAAGAAUACCGUGAGGAUGAUGAUGAUGAUGAUGAAGAUAGUGAAGCAAUGGCCAUGGCAUCCGUUGCCAUUGCCACAACUCCCCGGAUGUCUCUCUUUGAUUCACCCAACGAGAACAUCACUGCCAAGUGCCUCAUGGCUAAAGCCACCAACAAGGUAACCCCCAACAUCAAAACCACCAUCAUUACUAAUCCCUCUUUGGCCGAUGGCAUUGAUGAAAGUGAGGGGUCUAAUGAGGAAGUAAAUGAAUUUGAGUCUUUUAUGAGUAAGCUCAAGGGAAAAUCCAAGAAGCACUUUGUUGCUCUCUUGGAACAACUUGGUGAAGCCAAUGACAUGAUCGAGGCUCACGAAGAAACCAUCUCUAAGAUGGAAGGUCAUAGUCGUGACUAUGCCGAUGAGAUAUCGGAUCUCUCUAAUGCUCUUAAGGAAGAGCGUGGGCAUCGCUUGGCUCAUGAGGAGUCACACAAUGAUGACCAUGCCAAGUUAAAGAAAGAUCUUGAUCAUGCUCUUGUUGUGUCUCGUGUGCUAACUUCCGAGAAGGCUAAACUUGGGGUUGAUCAUGCUAGACUCAAGGAGGAGUUUGAUGCACUUGACAAGGCCCACAAGGUCUUGAAGGGUGCUCAUGCAAACCUCAAGGAGUCUCAUGCUCAACUCCAAGUUAAGCUAACCAAGGAAAAGGCCACCUUUCCUCAUAUGGUAUUAAUGGAUAAUGCAUAG